UGUCAACAAAUAUUAUUUAUCACACAUCGAAGGGUUCAUCAGGUUUUACAGAUCAGUUCAUCACGCUGCUGCGCUUUCUAACAUCAUCAGCAGCAGCAGACAGCAGAGCAGCGUAUGUACAGCAUCAUCAUCAGUUCAUGAAUCAGAGAAGUUACAGAGAGAUUCUUCACAUUAGUAUCAUCGAGAAUCAUCAAGGAUUUCAGAUUGGUACCCAAUGGAACGGUGGGGGGGGGGGGGGGGGGGGGGGGGGGGGGGGGGGGGGGGUUGGUGGGCGUCUCAGGCGCGGCUGGCUUCCUCGGCGGCGGGGGUGCGGAGGGCGGGGACGCGCCCGCCGCAGCCCGACCGCUUCUUGCGCUUCCCGGACAGCAGCGCCCACACCGGCAGCGGGGUGAACGGCGGCGGCGCCGGCGGGGACGAGGAGGCCGCCCACCCCGGCUUCCCUGUUUCCGGCGGCAGCGGCGGGGAGGGCAGCCGCUUCUUCGGCGGGAGCAGGGGCGGCGGCGGCGGCGGCAGGUACUGCUUCUUCGGCGGAAGUAGCGGCGGCAGCGUGGGCUGCUGCUCCCGCAGAGGUAGGCGUGGCGGCGGCGGGCGAGGGGGCAGGGGCGCAGCGGGCGGAGGGGGACGAGGGGGGCGAGGGGGCAGGGAAGCCGCGGGCGGAGGCGGAAGAAGCGCAGUAGCGGGCGGACGGAGCGGGUCGCUGUCGGCGGAGGUCGGCGGGUUGGUGGAGGCGGCGCCGGGCCCGCGGAUGCGGAGGCGCGCGGCGUCGUACGCGGCCGCAGCCUCCUCGGCGGUGUCGAAGGUGCCGAGCCAGACGCGGCGGCCGCGCUGUGGAUCGCGAAUCUCCGCCGCGAAUUUGCCCCACGGCCGCCGCCGCACGCCCCUGAACCGCACCCCCUCCACCGCGUCCUCCUCCUCCUCCCCUCCUCCGCCGCCGGUCUGGAGCAGGACGCGGCUGCGCUUCACGCUCACCGCCUCCCCCUCGCCCUCCUCGUCGUCGUCCUCGUCCUCGCUGGACGACGAGUCGGUGGCGUCCUCGUCGUGCACGAUGAUCCGCACCACCCGGCACCUCGGCGCCGCCGCGGGUAGCAGCAGCCCUCGCCACCUCCUUCACCUCCACCUCCCCCACCUCCGCUUCCGCCUUCAUCUCCUCCUUCACCUUCAGGCUAGUAGGGUCCAUCCCCACGCCUCGGCACCCUCUCCUCACCCCAUACACACCGCUCUCACCACCGGCUCAGCGCACCAUCGCGGCGGCCAGGGGCGCGCCUCAGCUAGGGCUAGGGCUCCGAUCUGCUCCGGCAAGCAACAAAUCGGCGGGCGCGGCGAAUUUCGGGAGGCGAGCGGGAAGAAGAGAAAGCAAAGGGGAAAUUGGGGACAGACUCGAGGAGGCGAG
rnacentral:lncRNA from 1 species